CUGGACUGGAUGCCGGAGAGCUGGGGAGGGGAGAGCCUUUUAGAUGAUUUUUUUUUUGUUUUUUUUUUAAAGAAUGAGAAAAAUGAAAUUUUUUAAGGUUUUUUUUGGCUUAAAUAGCCUAGUGAAACGGCGCCGUUUCACCAGGCCUCCCCAGAUGCCAAAACGGCGUCGUUUUGGGGAGGCCGACCCGACUCCGACCCGACCCGGCCUAGGAUCCGCGUGUUUUAUACGGAGGGGCAAAU
rnacentral:lncRNA from 1 species